UUUAGCGUNAUGGUCGUAAGACUGAACCAGNCCAAGUCGCGUGAACGUAACUGCCCUAUGGGUUUUCAACUUCUUUUGUCAGGGAAGAAUAAGGAGGAUUCAAUUCUCCGAUGCCGGUACCUGACGAAUAAGGAUCGGCUAACUCCGUGCCAGCAGCCGCGGUAAUACGGAGGAUCCGAGCGUUAUCCGGAUUUAUUGGGUUUAAAGGGUGCUUAGGCGGCAAAUUAAGUUAGUGGUUAAAUAGUUCGGCUCAACCGGAUUUCGCCAUUAAAACUGAUAUGCUAGAGAUUAAACGAGGUAGGCGGAAUAAGUUAAGUAGCGGUGAAAUGCAUAGAUAUAACUUAGAACUCCGAUAGCGAAGGCAGCCUACCAGGCUAUAUCUGACGCUGAAUCACGAGAGCGUGGGUAUCGAACAGGAUUAAGAUACCCUGGUAGUCCA
rnacentral:rRNA from 1 species